rnacentral:rRNA from 1 species
CACACUGGGACUGAGACACGGCCCAGACUCCUACGGGAGGCAGCAGUGGGGAAUCUUGCGCAAUGGGCGAAAGCCUGACGCAGCAACGCCGCGUGAGGGAUGAAGGCCCUCGGGUUGUAAACCUCUUUCGAGCGGGGACGAUAAUGACGGUACCCGCAGAAGAAGCUCCGGCCAACUACGUGCCAGCCGCCGCCGUAACAC